rnacentral:lncRNA from 1 species
AAGCUUCAUCAAAACAAAGGCAAAGAACCUGCUCACCAUUCUGACUAAACAGAAUAAUGGCAGAAGCACGAGCAAAUAGCUUUGUGUUUACAUCAGCCCGAAGGAAUCUCUUUUCGGUGGAAAAUAUCAGCCUUGUGUCUACAUCAGCAUAGCUUUCGGCGGAAAAUCCAUUCCAGCCAGCACAAGAAAUCUGCUUUCGGUGGAAAAGCCUGACCAAUUCAGCUUUGACAGUGCCAGCUCAUUAUGCCAGCACACUUCCAAGGACGAAGAAAAUGUCUUCUCCCUCCAACAGAAGGAAUCUGCUUUCUGACGAGCCCUGAUGAAAGGUGCUUUAAGUCACGUCAACACUUUUCUUCAGGCGGAAGAAAUCACUCCCGACCAAGAAAAGAUGCUUUCUUCACAUGGAAGGAACCACUUUCGGCAAAAGAUGCCACCGACCAAGGGUCCCAUCAGUUCCCUCUAAUGGAAGGAAUCUCCACCAACCAGAGGAAAAGAUGCUUUCUUCAUAGCAAGGAAUUGCUUUCGGCCGAAGAAAGGAUGAAAGAAUCAACUUUCGGUAAAAAGGACGCCUUUUGAAAAGCACUUUUGUAAAAGCAAAGAUGCUUUGCUUCUUUUCAGCUUUGAGUCUUUUCGGUCCUGUCUUUCCUUUUUUUGUCAAGUCAUUUGUUUCUCUGUCGGCCAUGAGCAGGCGAGUUAGGGCGUUGCGUAGGGCAAUUGUGCUAAGUACCCAUAGUGAUUCUCCUCUGGUAGGGUGCAGUAAUCCGGAUUGAUGGGAGAAAGAGACUUGAAUGUAGUUAUUCAUGUGAUUGAAAGAUGAUUGAUUUAUUUUUCAACAUAGAUUAAAUAAAUGCCAUAUCAUUCAUGUGGUAGUGUUUUUUAGUCUUUGAAUCAUUAAGGUAUCUCAGGCAUAUGUCCGUAACACAGAAGUUUGUAUAAAAACUUCAUUCAUCUUGGUUAAAAAUUUAACCCAGUCAGUUAUAUUAGGAACACCUUUCCUAAAUGAAAUAAUGUCAAUAAUCAGGAUAGAUGACCAUGGUAUCUAUUCUAAAAAAUAAGGAAAAGAAGUAAUAUUUUCUUUCAUUACAAAACCUCACUUAAAGGUUAUUAAUGAGACUAGGAAUCUCUUAGUCAAUAAGGGAAAACAAUUAGCUUUCCUUAAACAAGAAGCUAAUAUGCUUAGCUUAGAAAGAAAAUUGAAAGAUCCUUAUAUAAUCCAAAGAAUUAAGGAUAUAAAGGUACAGCUUACAGAACAAAUUUGUAGCGAACUACCCAGUGCAUUUUGGUCUAGAAAGAAACAUAUUGUUUCGUUACCAUAUGAAAAUUGUUUUAAUGAAAAGAACAUACCCACUAAGGCUAGACCAGCAUAGAUGAAUAGAAAAUAAAGGAAUUGAUACACUCCUAAACAAAGGACUGUUUAGGAAAUCCCAAUCUCCAUGGAGUUGCACAGCUUUCUACGUUAAUAAAAACGCAGAAAAAGAAAGAGGAAUACCAAGAUUGGUAAUCAAUUAUAAACCCUUAAAUAAGGUGUUAAAAUGGAUAAGAUAUCCAUUACCCAACAAGAAAAACCUCCUUGAUAGGCUAAGUGAGGUAUUAAUCUUUUCUAAAUUUGAUUUGAAAUCAGGAUACUGGCAGAUCCAAAUUGAGGAAUCUGACAGCUACAGAACAAUAUUCACAGUACCAUUUGAGCAUUAUGAAUGGAAUGUGAUGCCAUUUGGUUUAAAAAAUGCACCCUCUGAAUUUCAGAGUAUCAUGAAUGAAAUCUUCAUCAGUCAUGGGAAAAUAGUCCCAAUUGAGAGAAGUAUAGAAUUUGCAUCCAAAUUUCCGAAUGAAAUUUUAGACACCAAACAACUUCAAAGAUUUUCAGGAAGUUUGAAUUAUGUGUCUAAUUAUUAUAAAGAUUUGGCAUAGGAUACUACAAUCCUGUAUGACAGGUUAAAAAACGAACAAGCACCUUGGAGUUAGAAACAUACUAACAAGGUAAGAAUAAUUAAGUCCAAGGUAAGAAAUUUGCCUUGCCUAUCUUUACCAAAUCCUAAUUGGUAUAAGAUUGUUGAAACCGAUACAUCAGAUAUUGGUUUUGAAGGAAUCUUAAAGCAAUUGGAUUCAAGCAGUGGUAAAGAAAUUUUGGUAAAAUUUGUCUCUGGAAAGUGGAAUGCCACUCAGAGCAAAUAUUCAACAAUUAAAAAAGAAAUGUUUGCAAUUGUUAAAAGCAUUUCAAAAUUUCAAAGUGAUCUGUUAAACCAGUUAUUCUUGCUGCUAUUGACUGCACUGCAGUCAAACAGAUCAUAGAAAAAUAUGUGAAAAAUUUAGCAUCCAAGCAAAUAUUUGCCGGAUGGCAAGCACAAUUAUCUGCUUUCGAUUUUCAAAUUGAAUUUCUCAAAUCCGAAGAUAAUUCUCUUCCUGACUUCUUGGCUCGAGAGUUUUUGCAGGGAUGAUUCCAAGGCGAGGAUCUUAUGAUCAAGGCAGGAAAUCUUCUGCCCGAUAUAUCAGGGGACGCAGUGCUAAUGCACUUUCCGAAACUACAGGGAAUACAUGGCCUCAUUAUAUCAGGGGACGCAGUGCUAAUGCACUUUCCGAAAGUACAUGGAAUGCCUUGACAAUUAUGGCGGGGGACGCAGUGCAAAUGCACUUCCAGGUUCCACAAAUGGUGGAUUUGGCAACUUAUCUCGGCAAAGGGAAAGAGAAAGUUGACCAAGAACAACAAAUUAAUGUUGUGCAAGAAAUUUCUUUGCAAUCAACUUCAUCGUCGAGCCCAACGAUGAAGGAAGUACUACAGGAGAAUCUCCUGGACAGUACUUACUCGAAGAAGAAAUCCGAAGAGAUUAUUAUGUACCUGGAUCAUAGUGAAGUUAAUAAUCUGAAUGAUCCAUGGUUCAUAUGUCAAAAAUACUUUGACGAAGGGGGUUAUCCUUCUUUGGAAGGAAGAAACAGAGUAGUUAUGGAGGUGCUCCUGCUCCGUACUAAUUCUGUGGAAAUUAAUCAUAAUUUCCAAAAUGGUUCUAUCAGGAGUGGUAUAAUCAACUUCAGCAAAUGCAUAAUCCACAAGAUAAUCAGACCAAAUGAAUGGGGACUCGACCUAAAUCAGGUCAAACAGAUCACAGUAAAUGGACAGAUGGUUCUAGUCAAUUAUUGGGACUACGUCCAAGCCUUCACCAGUGUUUUCUAUUAUGAGAACCCCAAGAGAAGGCAUUCGUGGUUUCUGCAGGUAAAUCCUGAAGUACUGCACAAAUCCUUACCAGGAUGGUUUCACAAAUGGUGGACAUAUUUUGGGCCAGAAUUAAAUAUAUUGCCCAAAGAAAUUCUCAAUUAUUUUGAAGAAUGGGUGGAUCAUCAUUCCACCAUUAGCAAGUUUACAGAUAAUUUCAUCACUUCUGAGCUCUGUCCUAUGAUGUUCGUAAUAGAUGACAAGAUCCCUUGGAUAUGGAAAUGGGUCAUAUUAGCAGAGGUAGAAGAAGAGGUAAAUAUUCCUGUUCUUAAAAGGAAAUUUCUUUACAAGUGGUGGCUGGGAAUGCCCAAAGAGAAAUUUGAUGAUAUUAUCACCACUAUAAAAUCAAAUUUGAUUUCAUUUAAAAAUGAUCAUGCUGAAUCACAGCAGACUGAAGAAAGCACUGACAGUUAUUUUGCGAGUCUUUAGAACAAAUUCUCCAGAAAGUAUCCCCAAUGUACUUCCGAAGAAAUUAUGUCCAAAUGUAUGGACCAUAUGAAGCAACAAUUAUGCUUCACGUUCAAAGCAGAGCCAAAGAAGACAGUCUCCAUGAAGAGCACUGCAUCAAGGAGUUCAUCAUGCUCCACACCUGAGGACAAUAAUAAAUACAGGUGUCUUGCAGGAGAAUCUCAAGAUCCUUAUACUGAGGAUACACUAUCUCCUGAGGAAAAAGAACAGUCCAUUCUCAUGCACAAAACUCGUGCAGCUGAAGCCACGGAAGCUGUGGCAAAAAGUCUUAAUUACAAGACCUAGAAAGGGAGCAAACCAGCUCACUAUUCUGACUAGACAGAAUAAUGGCAGAAGCACGAGCAAAUAGUUUCGUGUCUCCAUCAGUGCUGAAUCACCAGCAAUUAUUCCGAAGGAAUCUCCUUUCGAUGGAAAAUAUCAGCCUUGUGUCUACAUCAGCAUAGCUUUCAGCGGAAAAUCCAUUCCAGCCAGCACAAGGAAUCUGCUUUCGGUGGAAAAGCCUGACCAUUUCAGCUUUGUCAGUGCCAGCACAUUAUGCCAGCACAAUAUGAAGGACGAAGAUAUGACUUCUCCAUCCAACAGAAAGAAUCCACUUUCUGACGAAGCCCCGACAAAAGGCUUUAAGUCACAUCCAUACUUUUCUUCAGGCGGAAGAAAUCACUUCCGACCAAGAAGAUGCUCUCUUCACAUGGAAGGAACCACUUUCGGCAAAAGAUGCCACCGACCAAGGGUCACAUCAGUUCCCUCUGAUGGAAGGAAUCUCCACCAACUAGAGGAAAAGAUGCUUUCUUCAUAGCGAAGAAAUUACUUUCGGCAGAAGAAAGGAUGAAAGAAUCAACUUUCGGCGGAAAAAGGACGCUUUUCAAAAAGCACUUUUGUAAAAGCAAAGAUGCUUUGCUUCUUUUGAGCUUUGAGUCUUUUCGGUCCUGUCUUUCCUUUUUUUUGUCAAGUCAUUUGUUUCUUUGUCUGCCAUGAGCGGCAGCCUGACUUUCGGACUCCAAUUUGAAUUGGAUUCCAACUUUGUAACUUGGUCUAUUUAAGGCUAUGCUCUCUCAGUUGUGAGGCAGAACCUUUCAGACCGUUGGAGUAAUAAGAAUUAUCUUUUCUCCACAUCUCUGAGUUUGCGUUCUUGUUCUCCUCACUCUUCCGCACCCCCUCUCCCCUCUCAAAGUUUGGUAUGACCCA